CUCAACUUAGAUGACAAUGUAUAUACUUUAUCACAUUAUAUAGAUGGUGCAACAACGUAUAUACUUUAUCACAUUAUAAGUCCUCACACCAUUAACUAUGACAAAAUCUGAAAGUAUAAGUCUGGUUACAUUCACCCAAGUCCAAACAUAAAAUUCUGUCCAACAUAGUACAACCCACUUUGAUAAUUUCAUAGGAUUUAAUAUACCGAACGAAACCUGACAAGUGAUAUGUGUUUCAAGUAUCAACAGAACAGCCUCUAAAAUUUUCAUGUUGUAACUUUAUUUUAAUACCACCUCUAACAGGGCCUUAUCUCCCAUAUCGAAAUACGGUACCCAGGAACAUAUAUUUCGGCACAGCAAACUAAACUGAUAGCUGCUCUCAAACCGUACAUCCAAACGACACAAAUAAAUACUCUAAAGAAACCUUGAAACUUUAUCUAAAACUUAUGUAAAGGGGCCAACUCAAAAUUCUGAGCCUAGCUAACUCAUUUUUCAGAUAUAAGCUUGCUUAUUUUCCAUUGCACCUGAAGAACUAGCUGUUGUUGCUCGUGUGCCCGUGCUGCUGAUGCUCCUCUUGUGCUGAUCCAAGUGGCUGUGUUGUGCUGCUGCUGAUUAGAACAAUUUUGCUCCUCUGCACUCUGAAGAAGGUACUCUGUCAGAGUAUUGUACCUGAAAAUUAAUGAAGUUUAUUCAGUGUUAACUGAAUCAUGACAAUGCCAAUAAAGGAGUCAAUUCAGUUGUUAACUUAAAAUUCAUGAAGUACAUUCAUUUUAAUACAAAAACUGUUGCUGAUCGUUGUGAACAAAAAUCAUGGAUUGAUGUUAACUCAAAAGUAGUGAAAGAAAUUGUUGCUGAUCAUGGAUUACUGUUAAGUAAAAUAGAGCAUCUCGCUUGUCUUAUCAUGUUGAGUAAAAUGAAUGACACUGUGUUGCGCUGCUGCUUGACUUAUCAAUUAGUGUGAACUCUGAAAUAGCAUGAAUAUUUGAAACGACAUGCCUCUAAAUGACACUUGAGUAAAAUGAAUACUUGCAGGUUCAUCCAACGUAUUGCUACACUAAUAGUAAAACGAAUACCUGCAGGUUAGUGUUAGUACUCCAAAACUUGAGUCUCAUGAAUGAUGAGUCUCAUUUACUGAAUUUACUCCAACACUAAGUCCACAAAAAUGAAUCGGUUCAGUAAACUUGAAGUACUCAACACUGAACAUGGUUCAGAGCUCACUACACUACACUACAUCGCGCAAUGGUUCAGACCUCACUAAACUAGAACAAGCUCACUACACUACACUACACUACACUACACAUGCUUAAACUCUGAACAUAAACAAACACCAGUAAUGCCAGACCAAGACUUUGCUCGAAAAUUCUAAGAAGUAUUUAUGAGUUUUAGCUGACCUGAGGAACUCUGCAAGAAUGGUUAGGUACCCCUGAUAAAUGCAGUAAAAAAGAAGGCAAUGCAAUUAGACAUGUCUUGAUGAAGCCAUUUACAGCAGCGUUCAACUGAACAUACAACUGAACAUAAAUGCAGUAAAACAGAAGGCAAUGUAGUUACUUCCUAUUACUUCCUACUAGUUCGAAUUCGUGGCACUCACCCUUCUAGACAAUAUAUAAACUACCUCUGUUUCUAGGCAACAAGAGUUAUCAUCAGUUUAGUUUUUGGUCGUGGUAACAAAGAAAACAGAGCUUGAGUGCUUGACAACACAAUAACAAAAGUUAUCAUCUGUUCAGUUUAGUUUUCUUCAUUCGCUUGUGUGUGUGUGUGUGCACCCAUUGUUGGUUCGUUCAUGCUCUGAAACUGAAAACUAAAUCUGGUAGUUUGAAAACUGAAAACAGAGCUAUGCUGAUGAACAUGAACCAACUCCAAAAUUAAGCUAGUUUGGAGCACCAGACACCAGGGGAGCAAGCUCAGUCGAGAGGGAUGGGCCAUGGAGUUGAUCAGGUGGGAUAAAGUUCCAUCACAUAGUAACAAGCUCAGGAGAGCGUAAGCAAGUCAUUUUUUUUAACUGAAACCAAGUGUCUUAGUACAAACUACUGAUCAACAGCACAAACCUAAGAAUCUAACAGGAGGAGAUCGAAGCAGUGAGGGAGCGAGGGGACGGUGCCGUACCUCGCGGGAUGGAUUCGGUCGCGGCUUGAACUCGGUUGUGGAUCCAGGCGAGGAGAAGGGAGGUGGGAGCUCUGGCGCCGGUGCCGCGAGACGGUCGGCAUGCAGUGGAUUAUUUUUUCCCUCGGCGUCGUCGAUCUGGACCUGGAAGAGGAUGGAUUAACCAAGGUAAGCGCAAAAAUCUCUGCAUAGGGCAAGGGGCGAAGGCGCCGGCGGCUUCAUACAAGGAGAUCGAAGGCGAAGCACGUAGGGCAAGGGGUGGUCGUAGUCGUACAUGUACCUGGCUAGCACAUAAUGGAUCUGUCGCGGAGGAACCCAGCACCUGGCCCGGUGAGGAGAAGCUCAGGCGUCGGCGACGCGUGCACCGCGAGACAAGGGCAGCAGUGGAGUGAGAACUGAGAAGCAAGAUGGGAGGCGCGGGGGCGCAGCGGCGGUCAGUGGGCGGGUGAGAGAUGGAUUGGGGAAGAUAGAAAGGGGACUGGGGAUUUUAGUUGGGG
rnacentral:lncRNA from 1 species